rnacentral:lncRNA from 1 species
AUGAAGCCUCACGUGGCCCCUCCUACGGUGGGAGGGACGGCUCCGGCAGCCUCUCUAAUGCUGGGUGUCACACAGCGGUGCCACCAUUCGGGUCCUGAGUGUCACGAGCAGAGGACACGGCGAGCCGAGAGCAGCAGAAAGCCCAAAACAACCCCUCCAUGUGCGUCCCAGCGAGGGAUUUAUUCCUCCUCCUUCCCCAGCCCUUUUUGCUGCUUUUCAAGGGUGGCAGAGAGACUUUUUGGAGAGCCAAGGGCCACCCAGGGGCACAGCCCCAUGCCCUGCACCACCUGCAAAGCUCCACGAGCAAGGUGAGGACAAAACCCUCUUGUUGACCAUGCCAAAGUGUGGGGAGAAGCUUUCUCUCCAAGCAGUCUGCUUUGAGACUCCAUUUCAGGCUUGACCUGUAGGUAGGAUCCUCCCAGUCCUCCCCAUUCGCUCUUGGGGUGACCAAAAUGACCUUUUUUGGGGGUUAAUUUCUGCCUUUGCCCACCUGUAGUUGCCCAGAGGAGGAAAUACAUCUCCAAAAGACUGGUCAUCCAUAUAACAGGCAUCCCAAUGCUGAGCAAUGUGGGGCUGUAACCCAAGCUUGUGGGUUAAAAAUCAGCUCUACGAAGGAUCAGCUACGUGAAGGCUCUCGGGGUAAAAAAAUAAGAAGAAAGGAGCUGCUGAGGGCCCAGCAAUGGGGCCAGAGCCACCCCACACGUGGCUGUUUUGGGGGCUAGUGGUCUGAAGAGGCACCGAAGUGGCACUACAGGACAAAAAGAAGCCUUGCUUCUACUUUUUUUUUUUUUUUUUUUUUUUCCUUUUCCCUCUUCACUUUAAGCAAACAAAUAUCUCCUGUCCCAGCCAGGACGUCCCAGCUCUGCUGCUGCUCCAGCAUCGCAUGCGAGACGCUGGCUGCUCAGCGGGGGAUUUCUCAACCCUUCAGCUCUCUCGUGGGCGUGAAUGAAACAAGCCCGAAAGGAAAGUUUGGGAAGCGAUGCGAUCCCGGGGCUCGUUGCAAGCAGAGCCCUUUAACACCCCGAUAUCUGGCAGCCCUGGUGUGCAGAGCUGGGCUCUCCUGGGGCACUGCCCCUAGUUCUGCCCCUAGGUAUCCCCACCUUGUUCCCAGACCUUUUGAUUCAUCUUCUAGGAGGAAGAAAGAGCCAUGUCCUACAAAUGAAUAUCGACCCUUUAUUUUAUUUUAUUUUGAGAUUUCUGAUGUUUUUCAGGCCCUUCCGUGGCUGAAGUAGACCCUCUCCAUGCUUUAGCUCAUGAGAAAUUACGGAAAAAAGAUGCUACAGCAUAAAAACCUGCUACAUUUGGGCCAGCA